ACACAUCUUCUCACCGGGGCAGCUGGGUUUUCUUCAGGUAUUGCGCAUUUCUCUGAAUCCUUAAGUAAUUUUGCUGAAACUCUAAGUUGGUUUCCAGAUGAUGGAGUACCAUUAUUAUGAACAUCUGCUAUUUCACGAUCCGUAAAGCAAAGAAUAGAAAAGUGAAAUUUGUAACAUCAAGACACAAAAUGAAGACAGAGACACUAUGACUUGCAAAGGAUCAUGGCAGUAAUGUGAAAGGAGAAAAUUGUAUGCCUAGCUGCAUGUGUCCUAUGAUACCAAGAACUGAAAGCAUGUGUGGAGUAGAAGAAAAAAAUAUUGAAAUGAAUGGAUCUAGAAUCUAGUCUGUGGAAGAUUCUUUCAAUAAUCAAACCUGUUGAAUUGUGAACAAAGAGUUCACGUCGCAUGGUGAACACUUCAAAACAGAAAUGUCCUCCUAUUCUGAAUAAACUCAAUAAUGCCACAGUGA